rnacentral:rRNA from 1 species
AGCGAACGCUGGCGGCAGGCUUAACACAUGCAAGUCGAGCGGGCAUCUUCGGGUGUCAGCGGCGGACGGGUGAGUAACGCGUGGGAACGUGCCUUCUGGUUCGGAAUAACUCAGGGAAACUUGAGCUAAUACCGGAUACGACCUUUUGGGGAAAGGUUUACUGCCGGAAGAUCGGCCCGCGUCUGAUUAGCUAGUUGGUGGGGUAAUGGCCUACCAAGGCGACGAUCAGUAGCUGGUCUGAGAGGAUGAUCAGCCACACUGGGACUGAGACACGGCCCAGACUCCUACGGGAGGCAGCAGUGGGGAAUAUUGGACAAUGGGGGCAACCCUGAUCCAGCCAUGCCGCGUGAGUGAUGAAGGCCUUAGGGUUGUAAAGCUCUUUUAUCCGGGACGUUAAUGACGGUACCGGAGGAAUAAGCCCCGGCUAACUUCGUGCCAACAGCCGCCGCGG